CAGUGUGGGUGACUUGGAAACAACCUCAGUUCUUAGAGGUUUGCCAAAAGCCUGGAGCUGUGCUCAACUUAGGUAUGGUCGUGUCUUUAUCACAGGAUGUUUGCCUCAAGAAGCCAAGAAACAGCCUAAAAGAAUG
rnacentral:lncRNA from 1 species